GAGGGAGCUCUGACAAGUUAGAGAACUUUAGAAUUUGAACUACCAGAAACAAAUCUGUUUAUACAAGUGUUGUGAACCACAUUCCCUUUUACUCCAGGCCCACAGUCUUACCACACAGCAAGCACAUGGUAGGCAGAAGAGAAUAUAUUUGAAGGACGAGGUAUAUUGAAAGUCAAAUUGUUUAUUGAGCAAACCAUGCAAGAGUAGCAGGAACACCAGGCUAAAUCAAAAACAUAACCGUAGAACCUAAAAGUGUGUCAGACAAAUCAGAUGUCAAUUUUAGUCGUAUGGUUAUAAAAACAAUUCAUACCCUUGUAGUGUAUCAUCCACCCCUGUAAACAAUUUGCAUGACGUUGCACAAGUGAAGGAGAACCUCAUUUCAACAAGUGCAUUAGUUGACAUAUUUCCCCUCAGUUACCUUUGCCUUUUCUUCAAAAGGAGGCACAGUAACAGGGGACAGACGAUUAAGGAGUUGGGCAAACCAAAUUAUGAUCUCCCUAUCUAGCUUGUUGAGGGGUCGGGCCGUCUGUUCAAGGCUUGUCGCUUCUGCUGAGGCGCGGGGGCCGGACGCUCCUGCUGAGGCGCCGGGGCCGGUUGCUUCUGCUGAGGCGCGGGACGCUUCUGCUGAGGCGCGGGGGCCGGUGGCUUCUGCUGAGGCGCGGGGGCCGGUGGCUUCUGCUGAGGCGCGGGGGCCGGUGGCUUCUGCUGAGGCGCGGGGGCCGGUCGCUUCUGCUGAGGCGCGGGGGCCGGUCGCUCCUGCUGAGGCGCGGGGGCCGGUCGCUCCUGCUGAGGCAUUUCGACCCGACGUCACAUUUGCCGAGCUAUUGUGGCCAGUAGCUUUAGCAUUUGGAACAGACACCACACUCGCUUGGGCUCCAGUGGAGGCAGGAUGCCCAUAAGCACCU
ensembl:lncRNA